rnacentral:rRNA from 1 species
AUUGAACGCUGGCGGCAUGCCUUACACAUGCAAGUCGAACGGCAGCACGGGUGCUUGCACCUGGUGGCGAGUGGCGAACGGGUGAGUAAUACAUCGGAACAUGUCCUGUAGUGGGGGAUAGCCCGGCGAAAGCCGGAUUAAUUCCGCAUACGAUCUACGGAUGAAAGCGGGGGACCUUCGGGCCUCGCGCUAUAGGGUUGGCCGAUGGCUGAUUAGCUAGUUGGUGGGGUAAAGGCCUACCAAGGCGACGAUCAGUAGCUGGUCUGAGAGGACGACCAGCCACACUGGGACUGAGACACGGCCCAGACUCCUACGGGAGGCAGCAGUGGGGAAUUUUGGACAAUGGGCGAAAGCCUGAUCCAGCAAUGCCGCGUGUGUGAAGAAGGCCUUCGGGUUGUAAAGCACUUUUGUCCGGAAAGAAAUCCUUGGCCCUAAUACGGUCGGGGGAUGACGGUACCGGAAGAAUAAGCACCGGCUAACUACGUG